AACAAUGAGAAAGGUCACAUAUAUUAAAUCAACUUGAUUGCUUUACAAAGAACAUGAUACACAGAUUACAAUAUGUGAAACUAUCUAGUAAUAGUCUGAUUCUCAACCUUGCACUGAACGACUCAGCCAUCUAAACACAUAGUGUUUGAAACAUUGACCCUAAAAAUUACAUUCCAAAACAUAAUCUGAAACUAUCUAGUAGUAGCCACCUUCUCGAUCUUGUAAUCAACUUCUGAGCCAUGCAUCAUCGAUUUAUCUUGGCAAUCUACAACAACAAAGAAAUGAGAAUAGCAAGGUACCAUCAAAGAAAAUCAAUUAACAGGGAAGUAAAAUUUAAACAAAAGAGCAACAUAUAAAGGUUGGAGGACAUGUCAUAGUUAAUCAUACUAUAUGACUAAUAAUUUUGUUUUAGUGGUUAUGUCAACCAAGAAACAGUUAGUCCCGGAGGGAGUACCAAGUCAACACCCAUAGUUUUUUGUUUUAUAUUAUAGGUCAGUACUUUGGAGUGUAGCAAGGGCAACAUUCUUCUUUGGAUUUCCCAAGCUAAGCAAGAACUGCAAUAAGCAUUAAUAUUGAAAAAAGUAUGAGCAAAUAAAUUGUUGCUCAGCCAUGUUGAAUUCACACAAUAGAGAAAUGAGCAUACCUUGUCUUUAGAUGGAUGAUUGCAUCUCCAUAUCAUAGAGGAAACUUCACUUUAAAUGCAAUAUGUUGCUUCCCUGAACAGAUUAGUUAAAGUUUCACUUCUCUGAACACCCAAGUCGAAGCAAGCACCAGAACAAUAUCCUUGUUUCGUCAUCCAACAUAUAUCAUCACCUCUAAAGAGCUAUGAAAUAUCAUAAUUUGAUCACUUUUUACAGUCCCAACCAUAGCACUAUGAUAUAUAGAUGGAGAAAAGAGGGCCUUUUGAAAAGAGUGUCCUUAUGUUAAACGAGUUAAACACCUUACAAAGAAUAUAAUGAAGAUACAGUGAGGUACAUGCCAAAAACUAUGUACAUCGACAAAUAUAGCAUCCUUGAUUGCAAACAAAGAUCUGCAGUUCUCAAAACAAU
rnacentral:lncRNA from 1 species